GACGAACGCUGGCGGCGUGCCUAACACAUGCAAGUCGAACGGAACUGCUUCGAAGGAUUUCUUCGGAAUGACAUUGAUUCAGUUUAGUGGCGGACGGGUGAGUAACGCGUGAGUAACCUGCCUUCAAGAGGGGAUAACAUUCUGAAAAGAAUGCUAAUACCGCAUGACAUAUGAUUGUCGCAUGGCAGACAUAUCAAAGAUUUAUCGCUUGAAGAUGGACUCGCGUCCGAUUAGUUAGUUGGUGAGGUAACGGCCCACCAAGACCGCGAUCGGUAGCCGGACUGAGAGGUUGAACGGCCACAUUGGGACUGAGACACGGCCCAG
rnacentral:rRNA from 1 species